GUCAGGGUGGCCGAGUGGUCUAAGGCGCCAGACUCAAGUUCUGGUCUUCGAAAGAGGGCGUGGGUUCAAAUCCCACUUCUGACA
rnacentral:tRNA from 1 species